rnacentral:rRNA from 1 species
AACGAACGCUGGCGGCAGGCUUAACACAUGCAAGUCGAACGCACCGCAAGGUGAGUGGCAGACGGGUGAGUAACGCGUGGGAAUCUACCCAGUUCUUCGGAAUAACUGAGGGAAACUUCAGCUAAUACCGGAUACGCCCUACGGGGGAAAGAUUUAUCGGAAUUGGAUGAGCCCGCGUAAGAUUAGCUAGUUGGUGGGGUAACGGCCUACCAAGGCGACGAUCUUUAGCUGGUCUGAGAGGAUGAUCAGCCACACUGGGACUGAGACACGGCCCAGACUCCUACGGGAGGCAGCAGUGGGGAAUAUUGGACAAUGGGCGAAAGCCUGAUCCAGCCAUGCCGCGUGAGUGAUGAAGGCCUUAGGGUUGUAAAGCUCUUUUAGUGGGGAAGAUAAUGACGGUACCCACAGAAAAAGCCCCGGCUAACUUCGUGCCAGCCGCCGCCGUAAUAC